GGGCCCGUAGCUCAUUUGGUAGAGCGCCGCAUUUGCACUGCGGAGGUGAGGAGUUCGAGCCUCCUCGGGUCCA
rnacentral:tRNA from 1 species